rnacentral:rRNA from 1 species
GACGAACGCUGGCGGCGUGCUUAACACAUGCAAGUCGAACGGUAAGGCCCUUCGGGGUACACGAGUGGCGAACGGGUGAGUAACACGUGGGUGAUCUGCCCUGCACUUCGGGAUAAGCCUGGGAAACUGGGUCUAAUAGCGGAUAGGACCCUGGGAUGCAUGUCCUGGGGUGGAAAGCUUUUGCGGUGUGGGAUGGGCCCGCGGCCUAUCAGCUUGUUGGUGGGGUGAUGGCCUACCAAGGCGACGACGGGUAGCCGGCCUGAGAGGGUGACCGGCCACACUGGGACUGAGAUACUGCCCAGACUCCUACGGGAGGCAGCAGUGGGGAAUAUUGCACAAUGGGCGCAAGCCUGAUGCAGCGACGCCGCGUGAGGGAUGACGGCCUUCGGGUUGUAAACCUCUUUCAGCACCGACGAAGCGCAAGUGACGGUAGGUGCAGAAGAAGGACCGGCCAACUACGUGCCAGCAGCCGCGGUAA